UGCAGUCGUACGAGACACCCUAGCUUGCUAGGGUAAGUAAAGUGGCGCACGGGUGAGUAACGCGUGGGUAAUCUACCUUCGAAUUGGGGAUAACGUUGCGAAAGCGACGCUAAUACCGAAUAACAUCCAUUAAUCUUCGGGUUUUUGGAUCAAGGGUGGCCUCUACAUGUAAGCUACUGUUUGAAGAUGAGCCCGCGUACCAUUAGCUUGUUGGUGGGGUAAUGGCCUACCAAGGCAGCGAUGGUUAGCUGGUCUGAGAGGAUGAUCAGCCACACUGGAACUGACACACGGUCCAGACUCCUACGGGAGGCAGCAGUGAGGAAUUUUGCGCAAUGGGGGAAACCCUGACGCAGCAACGCCGCGUGAGUGAUGAAGGCUUUCGGGUCGUAAAGCUCUGUCAAGUGGGAAGAACCUGCAGUAUGCUAAUAUCAUAUUGCACUGACGGUACCACUGAAGGAAGCACCGGCUAACUCCGUG
rnacentral:rRNA from 1 species